rnacentral:lncRNA from 1 species
CUGUAGGCACAUCCAUUGUCCAGGGAGAGGACCUGUUGGGUGAUAAAAGCCCUGCUCCAAGGCUGCCUCCAAGCUUGUCACACAUUUUGGACAAUGACCAUAAGCAGCCAGAGGAGACGAUAGUUGCGAGGGAAGCAGCUGUUUCCGUGUCCACUGUCUUCCAAGAGGAGUUUUUGGCUGGUAAAAGUCCUCCUGCACCCGCAGCACUGCCUCUAAGGCUGCCCUGUACCCACUGCAUUGACCACAAACAGCAAGAGGAGACAGUUGAGGAACACACAGAGCGCUUAGUUGACACAGAGGAAAGUGCAGUUUCAUCCACUGUCAAGAGAGAGGAACUGACAGGUGAUACAAACCCUGUCCUAGCACUUCCUCCAAGCCUGGCAUGCAUCCAUGACAAAGACCACAAUGAUCCAAAUCAGAAAGGGAGGGGCACUACUAAGAAGGUGUAUCUCUGCACUCACGCUCACCAGCUGGACCCAGAUGCUAACUUAACUCUGUCAACCCACAAUGAUGAACCCAGGACCUGGACCCUGGAAGAGACAAAGGAUUAUAGGAUAGGCAUUGACAUUGAGAGUGAAGAGAGGAGCGUCCAGGAGGAGGUGAGACCGAGGGAGGGGUUGAAGUGUGAUGCGGAC